rnacentral:misc_RNA from 1 species
UGACAAGUAGGCACAAAAGAUAAGUUGAAUCCCUUGGUGCAAGUCCUAUCCUUAAAAGUUCUCCGCGCUUACAAUGUUAAGAAAAUCAAUAGAUAUUAGCAGCACCGCCAACGAAGCAAAUAAGAAAGAACCAUCAGUGAUGCAUCUUGAUAACGCGGGAUACCCUUUCAAAGAAGAUUGGGCACAUGCUUGUGCUGAACAUCAGGACCGAUCUCAUCCACUCUGGUGCUACCCUCUCAAAUG